GACUGAUCGCAGAAGCACACUGUUCCAGGCUGGUGCAGCAUCAGCAGAGCCACUGGCAAAGCCCCUGGAGGAUGAGGCCAUGGAUAUGGAGGGACAGAUGACGCCCAUUCCCCAGCAGCCCCACAUGACAACCAACAGUGAGGAACAUGGGACCAAAGACUGUUGCAGGGCACAGGCCUUGACAAAGUUCCUGAGUGUAACAGAAGAAAUACUUCUUGGAGGUUACAAAGCCAGACAAGCAGACACACUGCCCUGAAGCUGGACACCAUCCAGCUCAUCACCAGCUUCCAGACAUCUUGCCCCAAGGAGAGGGAAGAAGAGCAGGGUCCUGGUGCUGGGACCUGGAGAACCACAUCUGGACAUGGUGUUUCAAAUCCCUUCUAUUACUGCAGCUCCAUCACAAAGAAAGACCAGUUCUUUUUCUUUUACAAACAAACAUUGACCUAGCCUGUAUUAGUGCAGUCUGGUAAGACAACAGUCUUCCUAGGAACAGGAAAAUAGGGAUGUACAAAAUAAAACAAUCUACACAAUUGAA